rnacentral:lncRNA from 1 species
CUUUAAGCUGCCCUCGGCCUCUGGGUGUCCUUUCGCCCCUCCCCUCCACCCAAGCCAGCUUACAAGAGGGAAAGAGGGAAAAUCAAAGGAGGCGCCAGGUACUUCCCAGGGGGCGCUAGUGGUAAGGAAUUCGCCUGCCAAUGCAGGAGACUCAACAUACACAGGUUGGAUCCAUGGGUCAGGAAGGUCCCCUGGAAGAGGGCAUGGCAAACCCACUCAAGGAUUCUUGCCUGGAGAAUCCCAUGGACAGAGGAGCCUGAUGGGCUACAGUCCAUCGGGUCACAAAGAGUCGGACACGACUGAACUCACUUAGCACGCAGCACAAGGUACCAGGGCAGCUGGAAUGAAGGGUUUCCUCUAAUGGUGGUGGGCACGGUGGGAGGGAGGGAGGGAGUCAGGUUCAAAGGGCAAGACCCUAGUGAAUUAACAAGAUAUAGUCCACCCCCACCCUCCCUCCCCCUCCUCCUCCUCAACUGAGGCCUCACCUUCCUCUUCUCUCCCUGGAGCUCAGGAAGCUCAAGCCGUCCUUCACCUUCGCACUUACUGUUCUGCUGCCUGGAAGGCGCUUCUGGACAUUUAACGUAGUUGCUCCAGCUUGCCAUUUCAUCUCGCCUCCAAAAUAUCACCUCCACGGUGAGGCCUCCCGGGGACAGACAAUUUAAAGAAAUUCCCCGCUUCUAGCCCUGCACGCCUAUUUUCUUUCCUCCUUGAAUUACCCACGGAGGAAAUUAUGCCGUUCCCGUGUGUUUCGCCGUUAUUGUUUUCUACCUUUCGAGAAGGCAAGCUCUCUGAGCACAAGGACCUCACGUGGGUUUAGUCACUGAAUGAAUGAGCAGAAACUCAGAGAGGGAAGGACCUGCCAAGAGCACAAGUUAGGAGCGAAACCGAUUCCCCGUGUCCUAUUUCUUCGCCCUCUGCUCUCGCUAGCUGGCGGAGGUGCCAUUCAAGGGCCAGGGGCGUGAGGGCGGAACGAACCACGAAUGCAGAGCCACGAGCAUCGCUGCCCCCGAGCGGGUGGGUCCCCGGUGCGCUCCGCCUUGGCCACCCCAGCAACUUGGAUUUUACUUCCCAAGCCAAGAAGCAGGGUUGGGAG